rnacentral:rRNA from 1 species
GGCCCCUCGGAUAAAAAGGAGGUAUGAGGGGUCGGACCUGCCCGGUGACUGAGUGUUAAACGGCCGCGGUACCCUAACCGUGCAAAGGUAGCAUAAUCAUUUGCCUUUUAAUUGUAGGCUUGUAUGAAUGGUUUGACGAGAGCUAAGCUGUCUCUUUCUUGAUUUUUAAAAAUUAACCUUUAGGUGAAGAGGCCUAAUUGUAGCUAAGGGACGAGAAGACCCUGUUGAGCUUGAGUGAAGUGCUGAGUGCGUGGUUUUUGAUUGACUAAGUAUGAAUUUUUCUAUCAAGAAAUGCUGUUAUAUUGAUAGAGCGUUUUUCGGUACUAAUCUUUAGUUGGGGCGACUGAGGAACAAAAAAAGCUUCCUUUGGCGUAAAAGAUGUGAUAAUUUGCUUUAAAUGAUGCUGUCAGGUUAUUUGAUCCAGUAGAUAUUGAUUAAAGGAAAAAGUUACCACAGGGAUAACAGCGUAAUCUUUCUGGAGAGACCUUAUCGAAAGAAGGGUUUGCGACCUCGAUGUUGGACUAAGAUAUCCUGAGGGUGUAGAAGUUCUCGAUGGUUGGUCUGUUCGACCAUUAAAAUCUU